ensembl:lncRNA
CACGAUGUAGAGGGCUGACUGGGUGGCAUGAUCUUACACCUGUGGAAUCUGCAAAAUGGACCCUAUGGAAGCAGCGCAGAAUGACAAUUACUAGAGACUGGGAGAGGGAAGAAGUUUUAGAGGUUUCAGUUCAUGGUCACCUGGCUUCAAGGCAGAAGCGUCUUGGCAGUGGGACAUGGAGAAGGAAACCUGCUCACCUGUGGUAGCUGGGAAGCGAAGGCAAGAGCCAGAGAAAAGGGGGCCAUUGACAAACUAGAGUCCUCCAAAUCACACUCCCUGACCCACUCCCUUCACCUAACCCUGCCACCUGUUUCCACGGUCUUCCAACAAUACUAUCAGAGCAUUAUCUCAUCAGUUGAAUAAUCCACUGAUAAAUUUAGAGCCCGUAUAUCCAAUUGCCUUCGGAAAGGGGAGAGGUAUUUUAGAUCUAAACCAUGACAACUGUGUAUUUCAAAAUAACUAAAGAGCAGAUUCAAAUGGAUUUCUUUGGUUUAAUUAUUCUAAGAAGAUGAACCAUGAGGUAAUUUAAGGGAAGAACUAGUUUUGUGCAGAAUGUGGAUAAAUGGAAAGGACCACAAUUUUAAUACAGAGAAUGUGUAAUCGAAGAGCCCAAGUCAGAAAUUCUCCUCACCGGAUCCCUUACAGUACUAUGGAAGGACUGGUCUCAGCAGGGAUGUGUGUCACAAAUAUGGAAGACUGGGAAUCAAACGAGGUUUGAACAGUAUCAUUCAAUCUACAAAUAUUUGCCUUCAAAAUACCUUUUUCACACAUGCAACACUGGUCUCAUAUUUUGAGACACUUCCAAUUUACAAAGCUUCAUCUCUGCGGUUCCUUGAUGUAGGCUGAGCACACGUUAACCACACUGUUUUUCAGAGGGACUGAAGUCUGGGAAGGCUCAGUGACUUGGCAGAGAUCACAUAAUCAGCAACCAGCGGGUCCUCUGGCUCUGCUACAGCUGCCUCAAGACUACAGAGCAAGGCAAGCUACACCUGCCAUGAAUUUCCAUAUUCCACUUCUAAUGGUGCCGCAGGCUGUCCCCUCAUAUAAUUAGCUCCUCUGUGGAACCCGGUGUAUCUAGGACAAAGACAGUGGAUCUGCUUGAAUGGAAUAAGUAGUGAAGAGCUGAGCUCUAUCCACUGGGAAAUCCCUGAACAACAGCGAUCAAACUUUGAGGUUCUAAAGUAUAAGUAUGAGGACUACUUCUUACAUUAUUUAAAAUUUUUCUCUCAAUUACCUUAUGCUGUGGGUAUUAUUUCCCCUAUUUCCCUCUCUUGGGUGGGGAAAACAUAAGUAACUUAAAGAUGGCAGAGGGAGGAUUUAAACUCACACCAAUCUGAUUCUUAAAUUCAGGUUCAUGGCCCAGGAUGUAGCUCAGUGGUGGAGUACUUGCCUCACAUGCAUGAGGCCCUGAGUUGGAGCUACAGAACCGCCAAGAGAAAAUGCAGAUUUGGCCCACAGCAGGUAUGUACUCCUGGUGCCCAACUGGUCUAACUCCACACACCAUCAAACCCAUCCUGCUACUUUCCCAGACCAGCAUCCAUGCUCAUGACACAACUUCCCCUUGAAUCUCAGUGAUGAACGUUCUUGGAACCAAAUGCUGGGGAAAGCUGAAUGUGCCUAGCUGCUGAAAUGCCUUUGAUUUUGUGACUAAAUAGUUCCAUGUACAUGUGCAUCUUGUUCUCUAUGUAAUCUGUUAUAAAGUAAAAGAAGUUUUGGUGUUGAG